CCUACGGGAGGCAGCAGUAGGGAAUAUUGGACAAUGGGUGAGAGCCUGAUCCAGCCAUGCCGCGUGCAGGAAGACGGCCUUCUGGGUUGUAAACUGCUUUUAUCUGGGGAUAAAAUGUCCAUGCGUGGAUAACUGAAGGUACCAGAUGAAUAAGCCACGGCUAACUACGUGCCAGCAGCCGCGGUAAUACGUAGGUGGCAAGCGUUGUCCGGAUUUAUUGGGUUUAAAGGGUGCGUAGGUUGUUUAGUAAGUCAGUGGUGAAAUCCGGCAGCUUAACUGUCGAUGUGCCAUUGAUACUGCUGAACUUGAGUACAGACGAGGUAGGCGGAAUUGACGGUGUAGCGGUGAAAUGCUUAGAUAUCGUCAAGAACACCGAUAGCGAAGGCAGCUUACUAGACUGUAACUGACACUGAUGCACGAAAGUGUGGGGAUCAAACAGGAUUAGAUACCCUGGUAGUCCACACUGUAAACGAUGAUUACUCGAUGUUGGCGAUACACAGCCAGCGUCUUAGCGAAAGCGAUAAGUAAUCCACCUGGGGAGUACGCCCGCAAGGGUGAAACUCAAAUGAAUUGACGG
rnacentral:rRNA from 1 species